rnacentral:tRNA from 13 species
GCCCUCGUGAUGGAACUUGGUAUACAUGUACGCUUGAGGUGCGUAUGCCGCAAGGCUUGUGGGUUCGAAUCCCACCGAGGGCA